rnacentral:rRNA from 1 species
CAGAUUGAACGCUGGCGGCAGGCCUAACACAUGCAAGUCGAACGGUAACAGGAAGAAGCUUGCUUUUUCGCUGACGAGUGGCGGACGGGUGAGUAAUGUCUGGGAAACUGCCUGAUGGAGGGGGAUAACUACUGGAAACGGUAGCUAAUACCGCAUAACGUCGCAAGACCAAAGAGGGGGACCUUCGGGCCUCUUGCCAUCGGAUGUGCCCAGAUGGGAUUAGCUAGUAGGUGGGGUAACGGCUCACCUAGACGACGAUCCCUAGCUGGUCUGAGAGGAUGACCAGCCACACUGGAACUGAGACACGGUCCAGACUCCUACGGGAGGCAGCAGUGGGGAAUAUUGCACAAUGGGCGCAAGCCUGAUGCAGCCAUGCCGCGUGUAUGAAGAAGGCCUUCGGGUUGUAAAGUACUUUCAGCGGGGAGGAAGGGAGUAAAGUUAAUACCUUUGCUCAUUGACGUUACCCGCAGAAGAAGCACCGGCUAACUCCGUGCCAGCAGCCGCGGUAAUACGGAGGGUGCAGGCGUUAAUCGGAAUUACUGGGCGUAAAGCGCACGCAGGCGGUUUGUUAAGUCAGAUGUGAAAUCCCCGGGCUCAACCUGGGAACUGCAUCUGAUACUGGCAAGCUUGAGUCUCGUAGAGGGGGGUAGAAUUCCAGGUGUAGCGGUGAAAUGCGUAGAGAUCUGGAGGAAUACCGGUGGCGAAGGCGGCCCCCUGGACGAAGACUGACGCUCAGGUGCGAAAGCGUGGGGAGCAAACAGGAUUAGAUACCCUGGUAGUCCACGCCGUAAACGAUGUCGAUUUGGAGGUUGUGCCCUUGAGGCGUGGCUUCCGGAGCUAACGCGUUAAGUCGACCGCCUGGGGAGUACGGCCGCAAGGUUAAAACUCAAAUGAAUUGACGGGGGCCCGCACAAGCGGUGGAGCAUGUGGUUUAAUUCGAUGCAACGCGAAGAACCUUACCUGGUCUUGACAUCCACGGAAGUUUUCAGAGAUGAGAAUGUGCCUUCGGGAACCGUGAGACAGGUGCUGCAUGGCUGUCGUCAGCUCGUGUUGUGAAAUGUUGGGUUAAGUCCCGCAACGAGCGCAACCCUUAUCCUUUGUUGCCAGCGGUCCGGCCGGGAACUCAAAGGAGACUGCCAGUGAUAAACUGGAGGAAGGUGGGGAUGACGUCAAGUCAUCAUGGCCCUUACGACCAGGGCUACACACGUGCUACAAUGGCGCAUACAAAGAGAAGCGACCUCGCGAGAGCAAGCGGACCUCAUAAAGUGCGUCGUAGUCCGGAUUGGAGUCUGCAACUCGACUCCAUGAAGUCGGAAUCGCUAGUAAUCGUGGAUCAGAAUGCCACGGUGAAUACGUUCCCGGGCCUUGUACACACCGCCCGUCACACCAUGGGAGUGGGUUGCAAAAGAAGUAGGUAGCUUAACCUUCGGGAGGGCGCUUACCACUUUGUGAUUCAUGACUGGGGUGAAGUCGAAACAAGGUA